rnacentral:tRNA from 1 species
GGAGAGGUGCUAGAGUGGUUGAAUAGGACGCUCUCGAAAAGCGUUAGAGGUGUUAAAGCCUCUCGGGGGUUCGAAUCCCCCCCUCUCCGCCA